rnacentral:rRNA from 1 species
UAAACUAGGAUUAGAUACCCUAUUAUUUUAGAAUGUUAAUUUUUUUGCCUGAGUAGUAUUAGUUAUGUUCUUGAAACUUAAAGAAUUUGGCGGUAUCUCAUUCCGUCCAGAGGAAUCUGUCCCGUUAUCGAUAGUCCACGUUGGACCUUACCUAUUUGAUUUUGGUUUGUAUACCGCCGUUUAUUGAUUAUCCUUUUAGGGGUUGUGUUAAUUUUCUGGUUUCUUUAUUUUGAGAUAUUUCAGGUCAAGGUGCAGCUUGUUUUUAAGUGGAAUGAUGGAUUACAUUGUUAUUUGUUUAUGGAUUGCUGGUUUCAAUAUUGGCAUGAAAUUGGAUUUGGUUGUAAUGAUUUGUAGAUUGUUAUUAUGAUAAUUGGUUCUGAGAUAUGCACACAUCGCCCGUCGCUCUCGUUUGUAUGAUGAGAUAAGUCGUAACAUAGUA